rnacentral:rRNA from 1 species
AUUGAACGCUGGCGGCAUGCCUUACACAUGCAAGUCGAACGGCAGCACGGGUGCUUGCACCUGGUGGCGAGUGGCGAACGGGUGAGUAAUACAUCGGAACAUGUCCUGUAGUGGGGGAUAGCCCGGCGAAAGCCGGAUUAAUACCGCAUACGAUCCACGGAUGAAAGCGGGGGACCUUCGGGCCUCGCGCUAUCGGGUUGGCCGAUGGCUGAUUAGCUAGUUGGUGGGGUAAAGGCCUACCAAGGCGACGAUCAGUAGCUGGUCUGAGAGGACGACCAGCCACACUGGGACUGAGACACGGCCCAGACUCCUACGGGAGGCAGCAGUGGGGAAUGUUGGACAAUGGGCGAAAGCCUGAUCCAGCAAUGCCGCGUGUGUGAAGAAGGCCUUCGGGUUGUAAAGCCCUUUUGUCCGGAAAGAAAUCCUUGACUCUAAUACAGUCGGGGGAUGACGGUACCGGAAGAAUAAGCACCGGCUAACUACGUG